UUUCGCAAUGCCCGAAAGGGUGACGAAGCGACGCCGCGUGGGUGAGGAAGGCCUUCGGGUUGUAAAGCCCUGUCAGGAGUUAAGAAAUGUAGAUACGCUAAUAUCGUAUCUAUUUGACAAAGGCUCCGAAGGAAGCCACGGCUAACUCUGUGCCAGCAGCCGCGGUAAUACAGAGGUGGCAAGCGUUGUUCGGAAUUAUUGGGCGUAAAGAGCACGUAGGUGGAUUUGUAAGUCAGACGUGAAAGCCUUCUGUUCAACGGGAGAAUUGCAUCUGAAACUGCAAACCUUGAGUAUAGGAGGGGAGAAUGGAACUUCUGGUGGAGCGGUGAAAUGCGUAGAUAUCAGAAGGAACGCCGGCGGCGAAAGCGAUUCUCUGGCCUAUUACUGACACUCAGUGUGCGAAAGCUAGGGGAGCAAACGGGAUUAGAUACCCCGGUAGUCCUAGCCGUAAACGAUGGGCACUAAGUAGAGGGGUUUU
rnacentral:rRNA from 1 species